rnacentral:rRNA from 1 species
GAUGAACGCUGGCGGCGUGCCUAAUACAUGCAAGUCGAGCGAACGGACGAGAAGCUUGCUUUUCUGAUGUUAGCGGCGGACGGGUGAGUAACACGUGGAUAACCUACCUAUAAGACUGGGAUAACUUCGGGAAACCGGAGCUAAUACCGGAUAAUAUUUUGAACCGCAUGGUUCAAAAGUGAAAGACGGUCUUGCUGUCACUUAUAGAUGGAUCCGCGCUGCAUUAGCUAGUUGGUAAGGUAACGGCUUACCAAGGCAACGAUGCAUAGCCGACCUGAGAGGGGGGUACGCCAACAUUGGAAGUGGGACCCGGACCGGCCCCCUAGGGGAGGCACAGGUGGGGAAUCUUCGGCAAUGGGGGAAGGCCUGAAGGGGCAACCCCGGGGGAAGGAUGAAGGUCUUCGGAUCGUAAAACCUUUUUAUUGGGGAAAAAAAAAUGUGUAAAUAACCGUGCACAUCUGGAGGGAACCUAAGAAGAAGACCAGGGCAAACUACGG